rnacentral:rRNA from 1 species
UACAGAGGGGGCAAGCGUUGUUCGGAAUUACUGGGCGUAAAGGCUCGUAGGCGGCCAACUAAGUCAGACGUGAAAUCCCUCAGCUUAACUGGGGAACUGCGUCUGAUACUGGAUGGCUUGGAUUCGGGAGAGGAAUGCGGAAUUCCAGGUGUAGCGGUGAAAUGCGUAGAUAUCUGGAGGAACACCGGUGGCGAAGGCGGCAUUCUGGACCGAUAUUGACGCUGAGGAGCGAAAGCCAGGGGAGCAAACGG